rnacentral:rRNA from 1 species
UACGGAGGAUGCAAGCGUUAUCCGGAAUUAUUGGGCGUAAAGAGCUCGUAGGCGGUCUGUCGCGUCUGCUGUGAAAAUCCAGGGCUCAACCCUGGACCUGCAGUGGGUACGGGCAGACUAGAGUGCGGUAGGGGAGAUCGGAAUUCCUGGUGUAGCGGUGAAAUGCGCAGAUAUCAGGAGGAACACCGGUGGCGAAGGCGGAUCUCUGGGCCGUAACUGACGCUGAGGAGCGAAAGCGUGGGUAGCAAACAGG